CCCUCCCUCACCAGCAACACAUCGGAGAGUAGAAGGCGACUCCUGGACAUUGAACUGGGAGUUGCUGCGCUAAGACAAUGAUGAGCUGUGGUAUACCAAUGGAAUUUAACCUUAUGCCAAAUUUUGGAUCCUUGCAACACUGCUCAGGGACUAUGAAAGGUUCGACCAGAUGAACUUCUGAAGUCCCUUCCAAAAUGGGCUGAUUCAUGAUUCCAUGAUUUAUCAAAGGGAAUUUGGACCUCUAUAGGGCAAGCAACAACAAAGAUUGAAGCAGCAAGCCAAGCUGACUCCGCAGGUGAUGGAUUUCAGUAGGGCUCUAGAAAAAGUUUUUUGGUCCAACAUCUGUGGAUAUAAUUUUUCCUAUUUUGUUUUACCAAAUGUUCAGUAGAAAAAACCAGAGGAUUUUACGGAAUAACUUAUCACUUAGAGCAACAAUGGGAAGCAGAAUGGAGGUCAUCUUACCAGGUUAAAUAUUUAAUGAAACACAACUUCUAUAUUAAUGGUAUUUCUCCCAUUGAUCUUAAUAAAUGUAGUGAUAAAAUUGAAAACAUGAACAGA